GGUAUAUCACUCAGACCAUAUCUGCAUUCUCUGGUUGAUUUCUCAAAUAAGCACGGCCUCUGCAGUGGCCCAGCCUUGCAUGGGAAAUACCCUUUGUGCCUUGAAAUGGGGAAGACUAGAAACGUUGUUUGACAGAGA
rnacentral:lncRNA from 1 species